UGGGGAAUCUUGGACAAUGGGCGCAAGCCUGAUCCAGCCAUGCCGCGUGAGUGACGAAGGCCUUAGGGUUGUAAAGCUCUUUUAGCAGGGAAGAUAAUGACGGUACCUGCAGAAUAAGCCCCGGCUAACUUCGUGCCAGCAGCCGCGGUGAUACGAAGGGGGCUAGCGUUGUUCGGAAUUACUGGGCGUAAAGCGCACGUAGGCGGAUCAUUUAGUCAGGGGUGAAAUCCCGGGGCUCAACCUCGGAACUGCCUUUGAUACUGAUGGUCUCGAGUCCGGAAGAGGUGAGUGGAAUUCCUAGUGUAGAGGUGAAAUUCGUAGAUAUUAGGAAGAACACCAGUGGCGAAGGCGGCUCACUGGUCCGGUACUGACGCUGAGGUGCGAAAGCGUGGGGAGCAAACAGG
rnacentral:rRNA from 1 species